GGGAGAAAGCCCACAAGUGAUGCAAGAGAAGCCAGUCCCUAAGCUGUAGGGGUCCCUGAAGUGACUAGUGCUAAAAUAACUGAAUUUGAAGAUAUUACUGUGAGAGAUCCCUUGCUGAAACAAAUGAAAGGGAGACCUACCCCACGAGGGUCCUGGACAGAUGGCUAGCAGGAAGGAAGUGGUGAGAAAUAGGAAGGAGAAGGAACCUUCUCACGGAGAUGCUUGCCAUCAGGAGCUGGGUGCAAAGGUUUGUUUUAGGAGGCUGAUGGGUUUAUUACGGAAUGCUGAAGAAUCUAUGAUGAAAGCUGGAGAGUUUAUAUCAGAAGGCUGAAGAGUGCCAGG